GGAAGUAAAAGUCGUAACAAGGUCUCCGUUGGUGAACCAGCGGAGGGAUCAUUACUGAGUACUACACUCUCUACCCUUUGUGAACUAUUAUACCUGUUGCUUCGGCGGCGCCCGCAAGGGUGCCCGCCGGUCUCAUCAGAAUCUCUGUUUUCGAACCCGACGAUACUUCUGAGUGUUCUUAGCGAACUGUCAAAACUUUUAACAACGGAUCUCUUGGCUCCAGCAUCGAUGAAGAACGCAGCGAAACGCGAUAUGUAAUGUGAAUUGCAGAAUUCAGUGAAUCAUCGAAUCUUUGAACGCACAUGGCGCCUUCCAGUAUCCUGGGAGGCAUGCCUGUCCGAGCGUCGUUUCAACCCUCGAGCCCCUGUGGCCCGGCGUUGGGGAUCUGCCACGGCAGGCCCCUAAAACCAGUGGCGGACCCGAAGGCCCUCUCCUUUGCGCAGUAGCAUCAGCCUCGCAUUGGGAUCCCUCGGCGUCCUGCCUCUAAACCCCCCACAAGUCCGCUCCGGCGGCACCAAGGUUGACCUCGGAUCAGGUAGGAAUACCCGCUGAACUUAAGCAUAUCAAUAAGCG
rnacentral:sRNA from 1 species